rnacentral:lncRNA from 1 species
AAAUUCGUCCUCGAAAUUUAAAUGUAACAAGUAACUAGGAAACAAUGGUGGUUGUGCUUCUCACAUAGUGCUGCAACUGAUAAAAGUUAUUACAUUCACAUUCAGUAGAAUACUCGUUCUUCUGAGCAGCUAGAAGGAUGAAUCAAGAAGAUGAGAUAAGUAUUUUUGAGUUCGUUAAUCCGACCAGUGGAACUUUUUUUUUUUUUUAAAUUUACGAAGACAAACCAAUGGGAAGAAAAUUUAAUUUAUAGGGAAGGUAGGAUGAUUAUGAGAUGAAUCUAGCCCCAAAGUUACCUACCUUAUUACCAUAGUUAAUUUAAACUUGAGUUGUACUAUAUCCACAAGUCGUCAAGUCAAGUCAAAUAUUCAUAACCUAAAGUACAGAUUCGACACUAAUAUUCACCUUUACACAUAAGAAUUUUAAUCGCUUAUAACCUCUGCUCAAGUAAGGGUUAUUAAUCUCAUUAGCUCUAUAUCAUGUGUCCUUACAUUGAUGUAUCGUCAUUUAUU